rnacentral:tRNA from 1 species
AUUGACAUGGCUCAAUGGUUAAGAGCUCUGACUGCUCUUCCAGAGAUCCUGAGUUCAAUUCCCAGCAACCACA